GACGAACGCUGGCGGCGUGCUUAACACAUGCAAGUCAAGGGGCCGCAGGUAACGGCGACGGUGCGUAACACGUGAGCAAUCUGCCUAGAUGUGGGGGAGUAGCCGGCCCAACGGCCGGGUAGUACCGCAUAAGCUCUCUUAGUGGCAUCACUUGGAGAGGAAACUUUUAAGGCAUCUAGAGGAGCUCGCGGCCUAUCAGCUAGUUGGUGGGGUAAUGGCCUACCAAGGCAUUGACGGGUAGCUGGUCUGAGAGGAUGGCCAG
rnacentral:rRNA from 1 species